AUGCGGUGCCCUGCUCAGUGGCCAUGGCAUGUCGGAUGCUGGGGAGCAGCCUGGUGCGUGGCAUUGACACUGGCGCACCCAGCCUCUGCGGUGCUGGGCUUGGCUUCACGUGCCAUUGGGUGUGCAGAGGGGCUGGGACCCCGCGUGGGUCCUGCAGUGCACACCAGUCCCCGGGGCAGGCAGCAAGUACGCGCGGUGCGGCCACCAGCCCGUGGCAAGCUCUGGUCCCGCGCCUGCCCGCACCUCAGAGCCACGCUCCUCGCAGCGCCGCACCACCAAGCCUCCUCUUCCUCCCGCAGGGCCCUGGCCGUGCUCCAGCGCAGGACGCUCGGAGGUAAGGCUGAGCCUCCCCUCCCCUCUCCCCCCCUUGCCAGCAGCCACCCCCAGCCCGGCCGUGCCCCAGGGGGACGAGCGCUCGCCCCGCAGCCUGGAGCACCCCCGGCACUGCUGCCACUCGCCCCUCUGUGCUCCAGCAGGAUGUUGGCGGAGCGAGAGGAGCGUCGUAAAAGCCAAUUACAGAUGAGCGGGAAUCUCUUCAUCAAGCAGUUCUUGGUUUUGCUGCAUCAGACGCAGCCGGCUGAAGACAUCAAAAAGCAAUACAUAGAAAAGGUGCUGCACGCAGUGUUCUUCUUCGGAAGGGUGCACAAGAGGGUGGUGGAACCCACUGACUUCCUAGGGCCCGCAGUUUGCCAGACUCUGCAGGCGAAGUUCCCCAGACCGUUCCAACAGUACGGCACCCACCUCCCCGGCCUGACGCCCUACUCCAUCCUGCUGCAGUUCGGCUCUGAAGUAGCAGGCUGCAGCACCCAAGAGCAAAUGGAGUCUUUCUUGCGUGACUUUAACAAAACUCUGCAAGAAAAAUUGGAGCGAGAAGCCAACAUGAAGCCCAGUGAGUUCGUCUUCAGAGCUGCAAUUGUUGCCUUCAGCAUCUACAGAGACCCCGAGGAUGGAGCAGCCCCUCCUCUCUUUUAUGGAGCGUCCCUGUCCUGCAGCGGGCUGCUGGAGAAGAAGAUCAUGAUUGACGUCCUGUGCAUAAAGACGUGGCACAAGGCGGUGGCGUUCGCAGUGCACCACGCGGAGGACGAUCUGGCCAUCGUCUUCCCUGAUGGGGUAGAGUGCCGGGCCUUCUACUACAGUCACGGAGCCUUCGCGGAAAAGCAGCCCUGCAUGAAAUGCAGGGAGAUGUUCCACGUCGACUUCCAGCCACCCGCAGACAGCACCAAGGAAGAUUGCCCGUGGCCAUACGGUAACUGUGCCGAGAACGAGACCCUAAGCAAGCUGCUGCAGGGCAUCCCGGGGCUGCAGGAGAAGGUUGUCUCGACACACACUCCCCCCCAGCCAAACACCUACCAGGCCAUUGAACAAGAAUUUACAGGCAUCAUAGAAAACAGGUUUAGAAAUCACCUUGACCAGUUGCUUCACGAAAAUCAUUUUUCUUCUUACCUUCCUCUGCAAUUCUUUUGAACCCAGGUGAGUGCUGGAGAGGUAGCCACAGGCCGGUGCUUGCUGCAGCUCACGAGAUACCCCUGACUGCAGCACCCUUGCAGCUCCGCCUGCCCCCACCCAUGAACUCCCGCAGACCCCCACCUUUGCACAGGCUCCCCCGGGCCACCUCGCUGCGCUCUGUCUGGUGCAAGGCACGCGGGGCCACAGCGGUCAGGAGCGCUGCAGGCCUGCAGCCCCAGCCCAGGCUCCCAGCCCCACUGACCCAAGCACUACAACUGCUCUUGCAGACGGUACCAGCACAGCCCCAGCAGGAGGGCAGGAAAGCCUUCUCACCCUGCCUUUAUGUUGCUUCCAAAACCAGGCUACGUGCUCACAGCAGCAGAGUCUGGACAGGGCACAGAAGAGGCAAAAGCGCAGCCUCUGAAUGGCACGAGGCAGCCCAGCUCCAUGUCUGCAAACUGCGCAGCGAUGGGGUAUCCGUUUGUUCCUUGCUAGGCUCAGCAGCACAGGGCUCUGCUUUUAAUCUGUGUAAAUAAAGAUGCGUAUGUGAUUUUCA
ensembl:lncRNA